GCCAUAUCUCUUUCUUUCGCCCGGUUGCUGAAGCAUUGUCACAGGACAGCAAGGAUUGAUGAAUAUUCUUCAGGUAUGAGUCAUGUCAGUACAGUGAAAGAGGAGGAUUUAUGUUUCUGAAGUGGAAUUGUGUAUGUGAUCAAAGGAUUUACAUGCAGCUCUCUGUGCUGUAGUUCCUUCCUGCUCCAGGAGGGACACCUGGGGUGAUGUCUUCGAACAUGGUAAAGGGCCUCUAUCCGCAAGCUGGCAUUAAGAUACCAUCAUUGGUCUCUGCAGCAGAAGCAUUAGAUACCACUGUGAUGGGCAACCUUGAAAUACCAAGAGCAGCAAGCAGCAUACCACAUCUUCAUUUUUAGCUCUUUUCCAUACUCUGCUCUGUUUCCCUGGAUAGGAACGAGGCCCAGAAUUCAAGCCAGUCUUCCUAAGUGAGGGACCCGCUCAGAAACUGCUCACUGAUGGACAGUAGGUCUGGCCUGUCACUCUUGCUGUUAUGGCAGGAGGUAUUGCAAUGGUGACCAAGCUAUGUCCAGGUUAUGCCUUUCUUCAGAUACUAAGGACUGCAGGCUUCGAGCUGCGCUGUUUGGAAGAAGCAACGUCGUCUUCUCUCACAGCUACGACACGGCACUGCUCUCAGCAUAUCCUGCUUUUUCCCCCCAUUUACCUGGGCGGCUUCUGCUGUUUCUGUUGCUGCUGCUGCUGGGGCUGCUGCAGUUUCGCUGCCUGUGCUUCACCCUGGCAUGUCUGAGUCGGGAAUCACUCGUCUGCACGCUGCUAAGGAAGAGCAGCGAUGGAACUCUGGCCACAUUUUUUUUUCUGUUGGUGCUGGA